rnacentral:miRNA from 1 species
GAGACAUUUCACGCCAGUGGGGAU